rnacentral:rRNA from 1 species
GAGUUUGAUCAUGGCUCAGAUUGAACGCUGGCGGCAUGCCUAACACAUGCAAGUCGAGCGAGGUGUAGCAAUACAUCUAGCGGCGGACGGGUGAGGAAUACAUAGGAAUCUGCCUCAGAGCGGGGGAUAGCCCAGGGAAACUUGGAGUAAUACCGCAUGAUGUCGAGAGACCAAAGCUGGGGACCGCAAGGCCUGGCACUCUGAGAGGAGCCUAUGUCUGAUUAGCUAGUUGGUGAGGUAAUGGCUCACCAAGGCAACGAUCAGUAACUGGUCUGAGAGGACGAUCAGUCACACUGGAACUGAGACACGGUCCAGACUCCUACGGGAGGCAGCAGUGGGGAAUAUUGGACAAUGGGCGCAAGCCUGAUCCAGCAAUGCCGCGUGUGUGAAG